rnacentral:rRNA from 1 species
AGAGAGAGACAUGCGCGCAUAUCAAUAAGCGGAGGAAAAGAAACUAACUAGGAUUCCCUCAGUAACGGCGAGUGAAGCGGGAAGAGCUCAAAUUUGAAAUCUUCAAGGUUCUACCUUGACGAAUUGUAGUUUAAAGAAGUGUUUUCUGUUAGGAGUAGGUAAAAGUUCUUUGGAAUAGGACAUCAUAGAGGGUGAGAAUCCCGUAUUUGACUAUUCUUUCUAGCUUUGUGAUACACUUUCAAAGAGUCGGAUUGUUUGGGAAUGCAGUCCAAAAUGGGUGGUAAAUUUCAUCUAAAGCUAAAUACUGGCGAGAGACCGAUAGCGAACAAGUACCGUGAGGGAAAGAUGAAAAGAACUUUGAAAAGAGAGUUAAACAGUACGUGAAAUUGUCAAAAGGGAAGCGUUUGACACCAGUGUUGUUUUCUCGAAAAUCAAUUAAAAAUGGCUGGAUUUUGUGUUGUAUUGACUUUAUCAGCUUUCUGCACUUUUUCUUGACUUUUUUAAUGCACUUUUCGUUUAACAAGUCAACAUCAAUUUCUUUUGUUGUAAAAGGGUCAUUGGAAGGUGGCUUUCUUUUCGGAGAAAGUGUUUAUAGCCUUUGGCCUCUGCAAUCGGAGAGAUUGAGGUCUGCAGCGUAGAUCCUUCGGGGUUAGAUACAUUUGUGCUAAGUUAUAGCUUUUCAUAGACAACAUGUUGACUAUGAUUAAGUCAUGUAGCUUACUCGCUUAUGCUAUUUUACCUACGCUUAGGAUGUUGACAGCAGUAUAGACUGU